rnacentral:lncRNA from 1 species
UUUCCAUGCAGUGGACACACAGAAUGAAAUCCUUUCUUCUCUCUCUUUCCCACACCUGUCCUUGAAGAAUACCCUCGAGCUGAAUGUCUCUUAACUUUGAGCAAGGUUGGAUUCUAAUCUGAACUUUGAGGACAGAAUCUUUUCUCUUCUUGUUUGUUGUGACACAUAAUUUCUUUCUCAUUUGCUGCUCUUUUCUUGGUUAUUUGCAGGACAGAGGAUUCUGAACCUCAAACAGAACUGCAGAUGGAAAUGGACUAUAAGGGCCCAUUUCUCUCUACCCCAUUAGAAGUGCUUGCUGCUUUCCUUCUGUGUCAUGGAGUCACAGAUGUAUGUGCAGAGUCGCCUUUAAACACAGAUGUUGGAUGCUUCAGAAGUGA